AUUUUUAAUAAAAAAACAAUUUUAAAAAAUAAAUUCUGAAAAAGAAAAGUAUCUUUCUUGCAAGGCAGUUUUACAAAAUGGGUCUUCUUAACAGCCUGACAUGGCCUGGCCUAUACAAAGCAAAGUUGCUAGUUGAUCAGGCCCGGAGAAAGGGUCCAUCCUUUCGCUAGACAGACAAACCUACAGCCUUGCCGUGAAUUGCUAUUUCUUUACUCAAAAGACAACCACCAGUCUAGCUACCUGCCACCACCAUCACACUCCUACUGUCUUCGUCAGCUAAAUUUAGAUCUCAUUUUGUUAGUCACCGCUUGAAUACAAUCAGAUCACACCCAUUUUCAAUGGGCAAGUCUAAUGGUAGUGGUGCUUUGCCACGGAGUUACUCGCAGUGGAUCAAAGACAGGGAAGAUGAGGAGAAAGUGGGAAACGAGGGCGGGGAGAGCAAGUGUGUGAUGACUGAUUGUUGAAGCUAUCAGCAUUUCUUUCCAGAACUUCCUUGCUGAAAUUUUGACAAUCGUUCUUCAUUCUUCUUCUUCGGGAUAAAAACGGCAAUCUGUUUUCCUUCUGGAAUGCUAUUGUUCCUGUUGUUUUCUGUUUAAUUGUCAUUUGUUUCUACUGUUGGUAGCUAUGGGGUAACAUGUGAAAUUUCUGAAUUUGACCUUAUUUUAUGGUAAUAGUAAAUCACAGAACUAGAUGAAUCUGCGAAGUUGUUUCCUGAA